rnacentral:rRNA from 1 species
GAUUUCUGACUUGGUGCGCCUGGCCCGCCACGGUUACGUGUGUGAGUGCUGGGUCGUGCCUGUCAUCCUUCUAGAGAAUGUCUCUACUCUUCAUUGAGCCGGGGGCACAAUCUAGAUCUUUUACUUUGAAAAAAUUAGAGUGUUUAAAGCAGGCUUUUGCUAUGAAUACAUUAGCAUGGAAUAAUAAUUUAGGACUUUGGUCUUAUUUUGUUGGUUUCUAGGACUAAAGUAAUGAUUGAUAGGGACAGUUGGGGGUGCUAGUAUUCAGCGGCCAGAGGUGAAAUUCUUGGAUUCGCUGAAGACUAACUUAUGCGAAAGCAUU